rnacentral:rRNA from 1 species
CUAGUAAUCGUAGGUCAGCAUACUACGGUGAAUACGUUCCCGGGCCUUGUACACACCGCCCGUCAAACCAUGAGAGUUGGCAACACCGAAGUCGGUAGUCUAACCGCAAGGAGGACGCCGCGAAGGUGGGGUUGAUGAUUAGGGUUAAGUCGUAACAAGGUAUC